UCAGGCCUAACACAUGCAAGUCGAGCGAGGACUUCGGUCCUAGCGGCGGACGGGUGAGUAACGCGUGGGAACGUGCCCCUUGGUACGGAAUAGCCCCGGGAAACUGGGAGUAAUACCGUAUGAGCUCUACGGAGGAAAGAUUUAUCGCCAAGGGAUCGGCCCGCGUUGGAUUAGGUAGUUGGUGGGGUAAUGGCCUACCAAGCCGACGAUCCAUAGCUGGUUUGAGAGGAUGAUCAGCCACACUGGGACUGAGACACGGCCCAGACUCCUACGGGAGGCAGCAGUGGGGAAUCUUAGAAGAUGGGCGCAAGCCUGAUCUAGCCAUGCCGCG
rnacentral:rRNA from 1 species